GAUCAGUGAUGGAAACAGCCAAAACUGAGCAUCAAAAGACCAUCCAGUCUACCUGAUGCAUGUUCUCCAUAGUUCUGGGA